rfam:Triticum aestivum genome assembly, contig: Triticum_aestivum_CS42_TGACv1_scaffold_000364_1AL
AUACUACUCCCUCCGUCCGGCAAUACUUGUCAUCGAAAUGAAUAAAAAGGGGUGUAUCUAGAUGUAUUUUAGUUCUAGAUACAUCCUUUUUUUUAUUAAUUUUGAUGACAAGUAUUUUGGGACGGAGGGAGUACGUA